GCCGCGGGCAGCUAAGGCCCGCAGCCCCUUCGCCUCCAGUCUGGGAGCUCCCGGUCCCACUCUGCCAUUGCCUAUGGGGAUCCGAGAGUUUCCCGGCGGCGCACCCGGGGGCAAAAGCAUCGCCAUUGGUAUGAGGAGGUCACCGGACGUCAGCCCCAGGAGACUGUCCGACAUCAGCCCCCAGCUCCGGCAGCUCAAGUAUUUGGUGGUGGACGAGGCGAUUAAGGAGGAUCUGAAAUGGUCGCGCUCGGUGGAGGACCUCACCAGCGGGCCCGUGGGGCUCACGUCCAUCGAGGAGCGGAUCCUGCGCAUCACCGGCUACUACGGCUACCAGCCCUGGGCGGCGAGCUACAAAAGGGAGGAGCGCCCCCGGGACCCCCCGGGCCCGGCAGAGGCCCAGGCGCCGGUGGGGACCGACACAGGCGGGAGACCGAGCCCUCGCUGCUGGAGAUGUUCCCAGGCGCAGCUCAAGAAGAUCUUCUGGGGCGUGGCAGUGGUGCUGUGCGUGUGUUCCUCCUGGGCCGGUGCCACCCAGCUCGCCAAGCUGACCUUCAGGAAGUUCGAUGCUCCCUUCACCCUGACGUGGUUUGCCACCAACUGGAACUUUUUAUUCUUCCCGUUGUACUACGCGGGCCACGUCUGCAAGUCGGCAGAGAAACAGUCGGUGAAGCAGAGAUACAGGGAAUGCUGUCGAUUUUUUGGAGACAAUGGCUUGACUUUGAAGGUGUUUGUUACCAAGGCAGCACCCUUUGGUGUUCUUUGGACACUCACAAACUACCUGUACUUACAUGCAAUAAAGAAAAUAAACACUACGGACGUGUCCGUAUUGUUCUGCUGCAACAAAGCCUUUGUGUUUUUGCUCUCGUGGAUCGUUCUCAGGGACAGGUUCAUGGGAGUGAGGAUCGUGGCCGCCAUCCUCGCCAUCGCUGGGAUCGUGAUGAUGACCUACGCGGAUGGCUUCCACAGCCACUCUGUCAUCGGCAUAGCCCUGGUGGUGGGCUCGGCCUCCGUGUCCGCACUCUACAAGGUCCUGUUCAAGCUCCUCCUGGGCAGUGCUAAGUUUGGAGAAGCCGCCUUAUUUCUGUCCAUUCUGGGUGUGUUUAACAUCCUCUUCAUCACCUGUAUUCCUGUCAUCCUCUACUUUACCAAAGUGGAACACUGGAGCUCUUUCGAUGACAUUCCAUGGGGAAACCUUUGUGGAUUUUCCGUCCUCUUAUUGACAUUCAAUAUUGUAUUAAAUUUUGGAAUUGCUGUUACAUAUCCCACUCUGAUGUCUCUUGGAAUCGUCCUCAGUGUACCUGUGAAUGCAGUUGUUGAUCGCUACACCAGUAAGAUCGUCUUCAACGGGGUCCGGGUCAUCGCCAUGGUCAUCAUCGGCCUGGGCUUCCUCCUCCUGCUUCUGCCCGAGGAGUGGGACGUCUGGUUGAUGAAGCUGCUCACCCGCCUGAAAGUGAGGAAAAAGGAGGAGGCGGCGGAGGGCGGCGCGGACCUGGGCUCGGGACCUCAGAACAAGGGCGGAAGGGCCCGGCCCUCCUUCGCCCGCUGACGGUCUGCCCGAGAACUCUGUGUGACGCUCGCGUGGGUGAUUUGGAAUCUCUUCCCCGCAGGGGGAACCUCGGUUUGGUGAGGUGUACAUACCUGUACAGUUUUGGUAAUCUGCGGUAGAGCAGCAGUUUUCAUCUAUAUUGUUCUCUGAUGUCUCCCAAGCCCCUAAAACAGUGCCUGGCACAGAGUAAGUUCUCAAUAAAUAUCUGUUGAGUGAAUGAAUGAAAUCUUUGUAAGUGCUGUUCUAAGUGCUCUGCUUGGAUUAUUCCAUUUAACUUUCACAAGAAACCUAAGUAGAUAUUACAAUCAUCAACAUUUUCAGUUAAGGAAACCCAUGUAUGUAAAAGUUCAGGAACCUGUCCAAGGUCACACAGCUUGACAUCACUGGCGGGGGAGGGGGGCAGGAUUCAAGCCCAGUCUGGUUCUGAACCUACACUCUUAUCCACUGAACUUUGCUGCCUCUAAUACUGCCUGUGUUUCCCUUCUUGAUUUAACUCCUGCUGAGCUCCCGCUGCAUUUGGUGCGUGCCUCUCUCAUAGGUCUUAUUACUCUUUAUUAGAGGAGAGUAUGGCCUGUGUCCUCCAUAAGACUGAGCUUCUCAAGGACCGAGAUCUAUCCUUAUUCAUCUUUAUUUCCCCAAGGCUGACCACAGUGCCUGGCACUGUGCAAGCUAUGUAAAUACAGAGCAAGAAGCAUGAAAGAAGGAUCAACGGUUCCCAACUGGCAGCUGAAGCAUUAGUAGAUCCGAUGAAAAGGAAAAGCUUAGAAAGAGAAGCUUUCCUGGAGAAAGAAUACUACGAGUUCCAGUUUUGAACUUAUUGCAGUGAUGGAAGGACAAACAAAUGGAGAUAGCCGUCAAGGGACUUGGAAAGAGAAAAUGGGCACAAAGGUUCCAUUAGGACUAAAACAUAGACUUCCAAGUCUUUUUGAAAGAAGUGCUAACUGAAGCUCCGGGGGUGAAUCAGCUCACCAUGGAAAACAGAAUGCAAAGAAAAGAAAAAGAGAGAAAAAAAGGCAGCAUCUUGGAGCGUACCUAUAGUUAAUAGGAGGAAAAAGGGCAAGGAGUCAGCAUAGAGAUCUAAAAGAAAUUCAGAAGGAUCUCUGCAGGAACACUGAAGUCAAAGGAAUCUUUCUUGUUUGUGUCCCUGAGUAGGUGUCUGUGAUGACUGCUUUGUAAAACAGUACAGAUUAUAAAUAAAAAAGUCCGUGGGCAGCAACAGAAAAACAACACAUACGUUUUCAGUGCUACUGGGUCUGUCUGGCCCUGCCCACCAUUGGUUUGGGGAGCAACUUAGUUCAGACCGGAGAAUACCCACAUGAAACUCCUCUCGAUGGUAACACGACAUGUCUUCCACCUCUUCACACUGACUUCUCUUCGCCUCCUCUCUCCUCCAAACAUAGGCUGGAGAUUACACCCUCUCUGUAUCAAAACAGCACAUCUGAAAUCAUCUCAUGGCACCCACGUUCUUUUACUUGCCCAUAGUCUCCCAAAUUUUGUAAGGUGAAUGUGGCCUCUCCAACUCUUAUCCUGCAUUAUUGCUGUUGUUAUUAACAUGUAUAUAUAUACAUAUAUAUAUAUAUAUUUUUUUACCAUAUCUACACCUCAAAAUUUCUCUCUUCUAGUUGUUUUUGCUCUGUUGGCUAGACCACAGAGCUCCUUGAGAGUAAGCGGGUGGGGGAAGGGGCAUUAUUGCAAUUCAUUGAAUCUCUUUGGUAAUACUUUCCUUAUCUCUGCCCUAGGCCUACUACUGACCAGUAGGAAUUGCUUAGCUGCCCAAGUGACAGUUAGCACUAGAGACUACUGACUUUUGACCUUGAAGGCCACAGAAGAUGGUAAAUCCAUUAAAAACUUAGUCAUCACACUAUAAAUAUUCUGAAUGACCAUUAUUUUUACCUUUCUGUGAAUCAAAUGUACUAAAGAUGACCUUUCUCAGGCCAACUACUCUACUUUACUCAAAAAUUAUGACACGUAUCAUGCAUAUAUGUGACAUAUAUUCAUUCUCAUUCACAGAAGAGUGUAUAAGAUGUACUUGUACAGUUUAUUUAAAGAAUAAUUAUAAAACAAAUACCCAGUUUCAGAAACAGAACAUUGUCAGCCCCUCAGAAGCCCUCCCUGGUCAUAUCCCAUUUCUCUUUUCUUAAUAGUUUUGCUAUUUAAUGUAUGUAUCCUUAACAGGAGAGUUGAGUUUUGCAUUUCUGAACCUUAUGUAAGUGGAAACACAUAGUAUCUAUUCUUUGAUUGACUUGCUUCUUUCACUCAAUACUGAGACUCAUCAUAUUAUUAUAAAUGGUUAUAGUUUAUAUAGUUUAUAUAGUUUAUAUGGUUAUAGUUGUUGUUCAUUUUCAUUGGUGCAUUAUACUUCACCUUAUGACAUCAUAAUUUAUCCAUUCUAUUGUUGAUAUAAGUUUGGACUGUAUGUUGUUUUUAGCUGUUACAAACUUGCAGAUAUACGAGAGAUUCUGAAUAGAAUUGCUGAGCGACAGCAAAUGUGUAUCUUCAACUUUACUAAAGUCACAGUUUUCCAAAGUGACUGUGUCAAUUUAUACUACCAUUAGAGUACCUCUUGUUGCGGAGCAUGGACUCUAGGUGCGUGGGCUUCAGUAGUUGUAGUUGUGGCUCACGGGCUCUGGCGCACAGGCUUAGUUGUUCGGUGGCAUGUGGGAUCUUUCUGGACCGGGGAUCAAACCCAUGUCCUCUAGAUUGGCAGGUGGAUUCUUAACCACUGCGCCACCAGGGAAGCCUGAUGUAGGUGUUUUUUAUAUAUUCUGGGUACUAAUUCCUCGUUAUAUGCUUUGCAAACUUCUUCUCCCAUAUUGUGACUCUUCCACUCACUUUAUGGUGUUAUUUGGUAAACAAAAGUCCUUAAUUUUAAUGUAGUUGAAUUUAUUGAUCUUUUCCUUUAUGGCUAAAAAAAAAAUUAUUCUCAAUCCUAAAGUCAUAAAAUCAUUCUUCCAUACAGGUCCACAAAAUUUAUCUGAAAUACUUGGAGACAGAUGUGUUCUGGAAUACAGACUUUUUUGGAUAUUGGAAAGGUACCAUGGAACGUACAAUGUAUACUGUGUAGCAAGAACUGGGACAGUACUAUAAUCAAAAAUAUCAGUAUUUCUACAGCAAAACAUAUAGUCAACUAAGUGAUAUAUAAAUAAUGACUAUCGUGACACUAAGUUACAUUUUUCAACAAAUGAGUUCCAAAGAGUUUGAUGUUUCAAGGUUUGGGGAUUUUGUAAUUAGUACAAAAGUUAUGGUGGCCUCAUACAAUAAAAAUGGAAUUAUUUCAAAGUUUGAAGGAACUUACCAGUGGAACCAUUGACCUGGAAUUUAUGUGUGAACCUUCAUUACUACUGAUUCAAAUUUUUAAUGGUUUGGGACUAUUCAUAUUUUCUUCUCUUUAGUCAGCUAGUUGUAUUUCUUGAGAUUUGUAUAAUCAUCUACAUUUUAUUUGCAUCAAAUUGUUUACAAGAUGUUGUGUUUUGAUUUCUAAAGUAUAGUUUUUGUUAUUGACAUAGGUUGUUAACAUCUCUCUUUUUAUUGCUCAAUACUGUUAAAUAUUUGUCAUUUUUUUUAGUCUUUUCCAAAAAAAAAAAAUCAACUUCUGGAUUUUUACAAUCUCCUCUGUGCAGUGGUGUGCUAGUUAAUUAGCUCUGAACAUAACGAAACAAAACACGACCAGAAGAGGUGUGCACAGUUGGCUCUCCUGAGCCAGUACAAGGCAGUGUCCGGCACACCACUACUUUCAUUUCCCCUUUCAUUCAUUUCUGCUUUCAGCAUUAUGUCCCUCCUUCCACUUUCCUUAAUUUUGCUCUCCUUUUUCUAACUUCUUGAAAGGGAAUGUUUAGUUAAAGACCUUUCAGCCUCUUUUCUAAUGUACUUACUUAAGGCUAUAAACUUCCCUCUACGUAUUAUACGUUAACUUUAUUCCACAGGUGUUGCUAUUGUAUUUUAUUAUUCAGCUCAAAAAAUUUUCUCAUUACCAUUAUGACUCUUUGGCUGUGGGUUACGUGGGCUUGUUUUUAUAGUUCUUUAUUGAUUUCUAGCUUAACAGCACUGUGCUCAAAAAACACGUGCUGAAUGAUUUCAAUCUUUAAAAUUCGUUGAGAGUUGCUUUACAGCUAAGUAUGCAGUUGAUUUUGGUAAUAUGUCAUGUUUGCGUUCCAAAACACAUGUUCUGAUUUUGGUUGUGUUUUUCUGUGUAUAUUCAUUAGGUCAAGUUUGUACAUCAUGUUAUUCAAAUUUUCUGUACCCUUACUGAUUUUCCUUUUGUUUGUCUUAACAAUGACUGGGAAAGGCCUGUUAAAAUCACCCACUAUGGCCAUAUAUUUUUUCUUUAUAAUUUCAUCGAUUCCCUUUAUAUAUUAUAUAUAUAUAUAUUUAUUAUUAAGUGCAUAAAAAUUUUUAACUUUAAAUAUAUUUUUUUCAACUCAUAAGUCAUUCAAGACUCCUUCCAUCCUUUUUGUAUCUCAUUAGUCAUACUUAAAAGAUACUAUCUUUAUAUAAACUGCCCUUGAUAGACACAGUAUAAAAUAAUUGGUGGCCCUGGUAAAGCCAAAGCAAUCCACUUAUUAGACUCCAUUAACUAUUACAGAAAUCCUUCCCAUAUUGUAGAACACAUGUUUGGUGGUACUUAGGCUUCACACAGCCAACCUGAAAAUCUGCGUAUGUUUAUUUGUAAAGGAUUAAAUGCCAGCACUGAGUGCAGAGCUGUAAACUGCUUGUGAGUUUUAUAAGCACUUAGAAUUCAACAGGACUAGACGAUGGCGCAGAUGGGAUCUUUAAGAGACCUGGACGACUGACCUGUAUCUACAAACGUGCUUUCAAAUAAAGAUUCUGCUGACAUAUUCACUAAAAUAUUAAAAAGAGCAUCUUUCAAAA